rnacentral:rRNA from 1 species
UACGAAGGGGGCUAGCGUUGCUCGGAAUCACUGGGCGUAAAGGGUGCGUAGGCGGGUUUUUAAGUCAGGGGUGAAAUCCUGGAGCUCAACUCCAGAACUGCCUUUGAUACUGAAGAUCUUGAGUCCGGGAGAGGUGAGUGGAACUGCGAGUGUAGAGGUGAAAUUCGUAGAUAUUCGCAAGAACACCAGUGGCGAAGGCGGCUCACUGGCCCGGUACUGACGCUGAGAAGCGAAAGCGUGGGGAGCGAACAGG